rnacentral:rRNA from 1 species
UUUAAUGAGAGUUUGAUCCUGGCUCAGGACGAACGCUGGCGGCGUGCCUAAUACAUGCAAGUAGAACGCUGAAGGAGGAGCUUGCUUCUCUGGAUGAGUUGCGAACGGGUGAGUAACGCGUAGGUAACCUGCCUGGUAGCGGGGGAUAACUAUUGGAAACGAUAGCUAAUACCGCAUAAGAGUGGAUGUUGCAUGACAUUUGCUUAAAAGGUGCACUUGCAUCACUACCAG